GAUGAACGCUGGCGGCGUGCUUAACACAUGCAAGUCGAACGGUGAAGGAGGAGCUUGCUCUUCUGGAUCAGUGGCGAACGGGUGAGUAACACGUGAGCAAUCUGCCCUUGACUCUGGGAUAACAGUUGGAAACAGCUGCUAAUACCGGAUACGAGACGUGACCGCAUGGUCAACGUCUGGAAAGAACUUCGGUCAAGGAUGAGCUCACGGCCUAUCAGCUAGUUGGUGAGGUAAUGGCUCACCAAGGCGACGACGGGUAGCCGGCCUGAGAGGGUGACCGGCCACACUGGGACUGAGACACGGCCCAGACUCCUACGGGAGGCAGCAGUGGGGAAGUAUUGCACAAUAGGGCGGAAAGACCUGAUGCAGCAACGCCGCGUGAGGGACGGACGGCC
rnacentral:rRNA from 1 species